CGUACAUCUGCGGAUCCGUGUGGGGAUCGCCCAACACAUAGUACAAACAUAAACCUUUUGUAAUUGCAAUCAGCGUCAGUAACAAAUUAAUAAUUACAACUUUCAACAACGGAUCUCUUGGUUCUGGCAUCGAUGAAGAACGCAGCGAAAUGCGAUAAGUAGUGUGAAUUGCAGAAUUCAGUGAAUCAUCGAAUCUUUGAACGCACAUUGCGCCCUUUGGUAUUCCAAAGGGCAUGCCUGUUCGAGCGUCAUUUGUACCCUCAAGCUUUGCUUGGUGUUGGGCGUCUUGUCUCUAGCUUUGCUGGAGACUCGCCUUAAAGUAAUUGGCAGCCGGCCUACUGGUUUCGGAGCGCAGCACAAGUCGCACUCUCUAUCAGCAAAGGUCUAGCAUCCAUUAAGCCUUUUUUUCAACUUUUGACCUCGGAUCAGGUAGGGAUACCCGCUGAACUUAAGCAUAUCAA
rnacentral:rRNA from 1 species